rnacentral:rRNA from 1 species
AUGUGUGUGUGUGUGUGUGUUGGGCACCUGUUGUGUUUUUUUUUCUGGCUUGUUGGUGCGUGCAUGAUUAUUGUGACUGGGCGCUGGUUGUUCGGUGCUACCUGCUUCGAAAAAAGGAAUGAAAGGAAGCAUUUGUUCAUAGAACAAAUAUAUUGUAAAAUUUUGCAUGGAAAGCCUGCAUAUUUAGCAAGGAAAAGGAGUCUAGAGAGCCUUAGGUUCUUGUUAUGUGUUGAUUUUGCAAAAAAAUUGCAGCUAUAUAUUUGCUCAAUCCAAAAGACAAAUUGUACUCAAUCUUCAGUAUAA